rnacentral:tRNA from 1 species
GGACUGUAGCUCAGUGGCAGAGCACUUGCCUAGCAUACGGGAGGCACUGGAUUCAAGCCUCAGCACCA